AUUGAACGCUGGCGGCAUGCCUUACACAUGCAAGUCGAACGGUAACAGGUUAAGCUGACGAGUGGCGAACGGGUGAGUAAUGUAUCGGAACGUGCCCAGUCGUGGGGGAUAACGUAGCGAAAGCUACGCUAAUACCGCAUACGAUCUACGGAUGAAAGCGGGGGAUCGCAAGACCUCGCGCGAUUGGAGCGGCCGAUAUCAGAUUAGGUUGUUGGUGAGGUAAAAGCUCACCAAGCCUGUGAUCUGUAGCUGGUCUGAGAGGACGACCAGCCACACUGGAACUGAGACACGGUCCGGACUCCUACGGGAGGCAGCAGUGGGGAAUAUUGGACAAUGGGCGCAAGCCUGAUCCAGCAAUGCCGCGUGUGUGAAGAAGGCCUUCGGGUUGUAAAGCACUUUAGCCUGGAAAGAAAAAACUUUGGUUAACACCCAAAGUCUUGACGGUACCAGGAGAAUAAGCACCGGCUAACUCUGUGCCAGCCGCCGCAGUAA
rnacentral:rRNA from 1 species